rnacentral:rRNA from 1 species
AACGAACGCUGGCGGCAGGCCUAACACAUGCAAGUCGAACGCUCCGCAAGGAGAGUGGCAGACGGGUGAGUAACACGUGGGAAUCUCCCUUUCGGUACGGAAUAGCUCAGGGAAACUUGGGGUAAUACCGUAUACGCCCUAACGGGGAAAGAUUUAUCGCCGAUAGAUGAGCCCGCGUCUGAUUAGCUAGUUGGUGAGGUAAUGGCUCACCAAGGCGACGAUCAGUAGCUGGUCUGGGAGGAUGACCAGCCACACUGGGACUGAGACACGGCCCAGACUCCUACGGGAGGCAGCAGUGGGGAAUAUUGGACAAUGGGCGCAAGCCUGAUCCAGCCAUGCCGCGUGAGUGACGAAGGUCUUCGGAUUGUAAAGCUCUUUUGGCGGGGACGAUAAUGACGGUACCCGCAGAAUAAGCCCCGGCUAACUUCGUGCCAGCCGCCGCAGUAAUAC